rnacentral:lncRNA from 1 species
UCUCGCUCUCUCUCUCUCUGUCUCUCUCUCUCUCUCUCUCUCUCUCUCUCUCUCUCUCUCUCUCUCUCUCUCUCUCUCUCAUAGGCUACCGGUCUAUUUACUUUCGAGCAUAGUUGGCUAUUGACUGAGCGAUGUACAAAGGGUACAUCUAAUAUCUAAUAUUUGUUUUGUAACAGGAAUAAAACAGUCAUGUCAGAAAAGGAGAGACCUGCCUUGCAUGUCAGUAAGCAUUAUACUGUUAGUCUACACCUGUUAUUUAUGAAGCAUGUGACGAAUAACAUUUGAUUUGAUUUGAUUUGCAAUGUGAUUAUGAUUUCGGCCUACGUUAUGAAAGUCAACUAAAUAUAUAUCAGGUGACGUGCUGCUAUGUGAUCUUCUUACCAACGUUAAAUGCAUCUGUUUUAUCAUUAGUUCUACUUUUUACUGUUUUUUAUUAGCCUACCAUAAGUAUUAUUCCUGUGUAUCAAGGAACUACAAUAUCUGCUUGCAGUACAGUUGAUCAACCACUAGGAGGUGUGUGUCCGCAUGGUCUUAGAUUAGCAUGGAGGUACGCGCACUUUCCUGCCAAGUUUAAAAUGUGUAAAUACUAACCUUUUAGAGAAAACUGUCAGACUGAAGGUUUGUGCUCACGCACCUUUGAUAAAUGAGGUCCUUCCUGGUGUGAAUAAGAUGGUUGUACUGUGUGGAGACGCCCUUCUAAACAUGGAGAGUCUAUUAGGACCAGUCUGUUAGUGCUGAAACUAUGGACCAGUCUAUUAGUGCUGAAACUAUGGACCAGUCUAUUAGUGCUGAAACUAUGGACCAGUCUGUUAGUGCUGAAACUAUGGACCAGUCUAUUAGUGCUGAAACUAUGGACCAGUCUAUUAGUGCUGAAACUAUGGACCAGUCGGUUAGUGCUGAAACUAUGGACCAGUCUGUUAGUGCUGAAACUAUGGACCAGUCUGUUAGUGCUGAAACUAUGGACCAGUCUGUUAGUGCUGAAACUAUAGACCAGUCUAUUAUUGCUGAAACAAUGGACCAGUCUGUUAGUGCUGAAACUAUGGACCAGUCUGUUAGUGCUGAAACUAUGGACCAGUCUGUUAGUGCUGAAACUAUGGACCAGUCUGUUAUUGCUGAAACUAUGGACCAGUCUGUUAUUGCUGAAACUAUGAACCAGUCUGUUAGUGCUGAAACGAUAGACCAGUCUAUUAGUGCUGAAACUAUGGACCAGUCUGUUAGUGCUGUAACUAUGGACCAGUCUGUUAGUGCUGAAAGUAUGGACCAGUCUGUUAUUGCUGAAACUAUGGACCAGUCUAUUAGUGCUGAAACUAUGAACCAGUCUGUUAGUGCUGAAACUAUGGACCAGUCUGUUAGUGCUGAAACUAUGGACCAGUCUGUUAUUGCUGAAACUAUGGACCAGUCUGUUAUUGCUGAAACUAUGGACCAGUCUGUUAGUGCUGAAACUAUGGACCAGUCUAUUAGUGCUGAAACUAUGGACCAGUCUGUUAGUGCUGAAACUAUGGACCAGUCUAUUAGUGCUGAAAUUAUGGACCAGCUGUACCACUAGGCUGUAGACAGAGAGCUGUACCACUAGGCUGUAGACAGAGAGCUGUACCACUAGGCUGUAGACAGAGAGUUGUACCACUAGGCUGUACACAGAGAGCUGUACCACUAGGCUGUAGACAGAGAGUUGUACCACUAGGCUGUAGACAGAGAGCUGUACCACUAGGCUGUAGACAGAGAGCUGUACCACUAGGCUGUAGACAGAGAGCUGUACCACUAGGCUGUAGACAGAGAGUUGUACCACUAGGCUGUAGACAGAGAGUUGUACCACUCCCGCUGUGUAACUGAAGGUUUUGGGGGUCACCUCCGCUGUGUAACUGAAGGUUUUGGGGGUCACCCCCGCUGUGUAACUGAAGGUUUUUGGGGCUCACUCCCGCUGUGUAACUGAAGGUUUUUGGGGUCACCUCCGCUGUGUAACUGAAGGUUUUUGGGGUCACCUCCGCUCUGUAACUGAAGGUCUUGGGGGUCACCUCCGCUGUGUAGCUGAAGAUUUUGGGGGUCACCUCCGCUGUGUAGCUGAAGGUUUUAUGGUCACCUCCGCUGUGUAGCUGAAGGUUUUAGGGUCACCUCCGCUGUGUAACUGAAGGUUUUGGGGGUCACCCCCGCUGUGUAACUGAAGGUUUUGGGCGUCACCCCCGCUGUGUAACUGAAGGUUUUGGGGUCACCUCUGCUGUGUAACUGAAUGUUUUAGGGUCACCUCCGCUGUGUAACUGAAGGUUUUAGGGUCACAUCCGCUGUGUAACUGAAGGUUUUGGUGUCACCUCCGCUGUGUAACUGAAGGUUUUAGGGUCACCUCCGCUGUGUAGCUGAAGGAUUUAGGGUCACCUCCGCUGUGUAACUGAAAUUUUCGGGGUCAAAUCCGCUGUGUAGCUGAAGGUUUUGGGGUCACCCCGCUGUGUAGCAGAAGGUUUUGGGUCUCACCCCAGCUGUGUAACUGAAGGUUUUGGGGUCACCUCCGCUGUGUAGCUGAAGGUUUUGGGUCUCACCCCAGCUGUGUAACUGAAGGUUUUGGGGUCACCUCCGCUGUGUAGCUGAAGGUUUUUGGGGCUCACUCCCGCUGUGUAACUGAAGGUUUUGGGGUCACCUCCGCUGUGUAGCUGAAGGUUUUGGGUCUCACCCCAGCUGUGUAACUGAAGGUUUUGGGUCUCACCCCAGCUGUGUAACUGAAGGUUUUGGGUCUCACCCCAGCUGUGUAACUGAAGGUUUUGGGUCUCACCCCAGCUGUGUAACUGAAGGUUUUGGGUCUCACCCCGCUGUGUAACUCUGGUGAGAGCUCUCUGCUAGUGAGAGAGUUGACACGACCUCUAUCUCUCCCCACUGCCAUCCUCUGUCUCCAUCUGUUCAAUAAAUUCAGAAAAUAUAUAUUUAUAAAAAGAAGUAGUCUGUCUCCACCGACUGCAUAGAAAGGAGGGAAGAAGGAGGUAGAGUGAAUGAGGGGAGGAGGUAGAUUGAACGAGGGAUGGAGAUAGAGUGAACGAGGGGUGAAGGAGGUAGAGUGAACGAGGGGUGAAGGAGGUAGAGUGAACGAGGGAAGAAGGAGGUAGAGUGAACGAGGGAUGGAGGUAGAGUGAACGAGGGGAGGAGGUAGCGUGAACGAGGGGUGAAGGAGGUAGAGUGAACGAGGGUAGAAGGAGGUAGAGUGAACGAGGGAAGAAGGAGGUAGAGUGAACGAGGGGAGAAGGAGGUAGAGUGAACGAGGGGAGGAGGUAGAGUGAGCGAGGGAUGGAGGUAGAGUGAACGACGGGAGAAGGAGGUAGAGUGAACGAGGGGUGAAGGAGGUAGAGUGAACGAGGGAAGAAGGAGGUAGAGUGAACGAGGGAAGAAGGAGGUAGAGUGAACGAGGGGAGAAGGAGGUAGAGUGAACGAGGGAAGAAGGAGGUAGAGUGAACGAG